rnacentral:misc_RNA from 1 species
CGCACAUUGCGCCCCCUGGUAUUCCAGAGGGCAUGCCCGUUCGAGCGUCAACUCACUAAUCCAGAUAUACUGGGUGUUGAGCAUCGUUAGUUAUAUAACGUGCUUUAAAAAACUUGCUUCGGUUUGCUAGACUUGGCUUAAAUGCGUCUUUAUUUCACUCGCUAUUAAGUACGGGACUGGAAAACUUCUCAGGGAGCCUAUCGGCUAAGCCUGUUUUCACAAGAAUGACCUCGAAUCGAGUAGGAUUACCCGCUGAACUUAA